rnacentral:rRNA from 1 species
GUAGUCGAUGGGAAACAGGUUAAUAUUCCUGUACUUGGUGUUACUGCGAAGGGGGGACGGAGAAGGCUAUGUUGGCCGGGCGACGGUUGUCCCGGUUUAAGCGUGUAGGCUGGUUUUCCAGGCAAAUCCGGAAAAUCAAGGCUGAGGCGUGAUGACGAGGCACUACGGUGCUGAAGCAACAAAUGCCCUGCUUCCAGGAAAAGCCUCUAAGCAUCAGGUAACAUCAAAUCGUACCCCAAACCGACACAGGUGGUCAGGUAGAGAAUACCAAGGCGCUUGAGAGAACUCGGGUGAAGGAACUAGGCAAAAUGGUGCCGUAACUUCGGGAGAAGG